rnacentral:misc_RNA from 1 species
GAAAUGCGAUAAGUAGUGUGAAUUGCAGAAUUCAGUGAAUCAUCGAAUCUUUGAACGCACAUUGCGCCCCUUGGUAUUUCAUGGGGCAUGCCUGUUCGAGCGUCAUUUGUACCCUCAAGCUCUGCUUGGUGUUGGGUGUUUGUCCCGUCUCCGCGCGUGGACUCGCCCCAAAGUGAUUGGCAGCCGGCGUACUGGUCCCGGAGCGCAGCACAUGUCGCGCAAACGAGUGCCUUGGUACGGCGGCGUCCAUAAGCCCCUCUCUCACGCUCUUGACCUCGGAUCAGGUAGGGAUACCCGCUGAACUUAAGC